UACGUAGGGGGCAAGCGUUGUCCGGAAUCAUUGGGCGUAAAGCGCGUGUAGGCGGAUAGGUAAGUCCGUGGUGAAAUCCUGCAGCUUAACUGCAGAACUGCCGUGGAUACUAUCUAUCUUGAAUGUCGUGGAGGUUAGCGGAAUAUGUCAUGUAGCGGUGAAAUGCUUAGAUAUGACAUAGAACACCCAUUGCGAAGGCAGCUAACUACGCGAUAAUUGACGCUGAUGCACGAAAGCGUGGGGAUCAAACAGG
rnacentral:rRNA from 1 species